GACGGUCUUGCUGUCACUUAUAGAUGGAUCCGCGCUGCAUUAGCUAGUUGGUAAGGUAACGGCUUACCAAGGCAACGAUGCAUAGCCGACCUGAGAGGGUGAUCGGCCACACUGGAACUGAGACACGGUCCAGACUCCUACGGGAGGCAGCAGUAGGGAAUCUUCCGCAAUGGGCGAAAGCCUGACGGAGCAACGCCGCGUGAGUGAUGAAGGUCUUCGGAUCGUAAAACUCUGUUAUUAGGGAAGAACAUAUGUGUAAGUAACUGUGCACAUCUUGACGGUACCUAAUCAGAAAGCCACGGCUAACUACGUGCCAGCAGCCGCGGUAAUACGUAGGUGGCAAGCGUUAUCCGGAAUUAUUGGGCGUAA
rnacentral:rRNA from 1 species